GGCAUCGGCUUAACCGAUGUAAGCUAGAGAAACUGUAUAACUUGAGUACAGUAGAGGUAAGCGGAAUUCCUAGUGUAGCGGUGAAAUGCGUAGAUAUUAGGAGGAACACCAGUGGCGAAGGCGGCUUACUGGGCUGUAACUGACACUGAGGCUCGAAAGCGUGGGGAGCAAACAGGAUUAGAUACCCUGGUAGUCCACGCCGUAAACGAUGAGUGCUAGGUGUCGGGGGUUUAGAUACCCUCGGUGCUGGAGUUAACGCAAUAAGCACUCCGCCUGGGGAGUACGACCGCAAGGUUGAAACUCAAAGGAAUUGACGGGGGCCCGCACAAGCAGCGGAGCAUGUGGUUUAAUUCGACGCAACGCGAAGAACCUUACCAAGUCUUGACAUCCUCUGACAACCCUAGAGAUAGGGCUUCCCUACGGGGCAGAGAGACAGGUGGUGCACGGUUGUCGUCAGCUCGUGUCGUGAGAUGUUGGGUUAAGUCCCGCAACGAGCGCAACCCUUGUGUUUAGUUGCCAGCAUUAAGUUGGGGACUCUAGACAGACUGCCGGUGACAAACCGGAGGAAGGUGGGGAUGACGUCAAAUCAUCAUGCCCCUUAUGUCUUGGGCUACACACGUGCUACAAUGGCUGGUACAGAGGGCU
rnacentral:rRNA from 1 species